GGCCUUGUAGCUCAGUAGUAGAGCAGUACCCUGAAAAGGUAUGUGUCGUUUGUGCGAUUCAAACCAAGGCCACCACACC
rnacentral:tRNA from 1 species